rnacentral:lncRNA from 12 species
AUGCCCCGAAGAGCUCACUCCUCCCACCCUACUCCUUCCACAGGACGGUCCGAAACCCAAGUCCUAGAGGCCAGCCCGUGGCUCUCACCAGCAGGGAUCCACCUCCACGGGCCUGCACCCAGACGCUCACACGGCCUGUGCGUUGACCUACCAAGUAGAACAACCCUAAAGCGCUGCGUCCCCCACCCGACUCGGCCUGGCCUCCUGGAGCUGAGCUUCCCGAAGGACACGCUGGGGCGCAGGUUUGUCAGCACCGGAGCUGCGGGUGGGCAUGCGGGGCCCGUGGGUGGCCACCCGUCAGCCCGGCCGUGCCUCCUUCGGAGUGUCCCGACCCGUGCAGACCUCCAAGGAAACCGAGGUUCUCCGCUCCGAUCCGUGAGGCUGACAAGCACCGAGCAGCCCCCCUUCCCUAUGGCCUUGCGACACGGGGACGUGUGGGACCUGACCCCCCGGGGAAACGGGGGACACGAAUGCUCAUCAGCAAAAAGGGGCCCUAGCCGCCUCGGGGGCCACGUCGACCCUCAAACGCUGUCGGACGCAGGAACAGAACGGCUGGAACUCAGGCCUGAGGCCCCCCUCCCACCCAGGGGCUACGGCGGCCCCGGACCCCCCUGCUGCCGUGUGGCAGGAGACCACGCCGGGCCCAGCGGCCCCCAGCACGGACCCCAAGGCAGAUGCCGCCUGCGGACAGAGGGGGCUGCUGGCCCAGCCUCACACGCCCGGGCCCACGCUGUCACCGGCACGUGCCACCCGGCCUAUUUUAAACAGUCCGAGUGGCUUCCAGAUGUGGGGAAGGUCAGCGAUCUGCACCUGAAAACCCUCAUCUCCAAGGCAGAGACGCCUUUCAGCUUAAGUGGGACAACUCUGGAGCUCAUCAGCCUUGCUUGGCCUCAGUUUCCCCACCGUGAGAACAGGCCUCUCUGAGGCUCCUGGAGGUACACCUGAGGCCUGCACACAGUAGGCACCUCACACGUGCAGCUCCCCUUCCACUCCCACCUUCAGCCACAGAGAAACCACGUGGAAAGUUCCCCCUCGAAGGACUACCUGCUGGGCUCCCAGUGAGCGUGGGGGUCACACCGCACCCAGGUCCCCAAGGGAUCCCCCGUGGACCGGCCUGGAGCAGGUGAGCGGCCCCGCAGGCCCCACCUGCCCAGACGCACGCCCCUGACCGGAGGUCCAGGCUUUUCUGCGGCUCGCAUCCCCCUGGAGAAACUCCAGGCCCCGCACCCAGGAGGUCCCCGCACACAGAGGCCCGCCAAGCCCGGGGCAGGAGGGGCCGGCAGCGGAGGAGCGUCUGCGGGGUGCCCCUGCCCCCCACGGCCCAGUCUGUGCGUGAGUCUGUCUUCCCAGGCCCUGCUCUCCUGCUCUCCUGCUCUCCUGCUCUCCGUCCCUCUGCGUCCCUCUGCGUCCGGCCACAGGCAGAGGAAGGGACGGCCCAGCGGCCUCCGAGCUGGGAGGGCCGGACCCAGGCUGGCUCUGGCCGGGCAGGCCCACAGCUCGGGCGGCCGCGGGCUCCCUCCUGACUCAGGGCAGCUCCUGGCUCCGGAAGCACGUCUGGCAAAGCUCCCGCUGGUGGCCGUGGCCCCGCUCCCAGGGGCCUGUCUUCAGAGAGAGCCCCCUCCACAGGGUAGACGGGAAGCGGCCCCGCCCCCAAGCCCAGGGGCCAGAGGGCAGCCACCUCCCUCCAGCCCCGACAGCCACUGCCCCCGGGGUCCACCGGGACACCCAGACGGGCUGGCACACGGCCACCUUCCAGAAGCCAGGCUCUGGUGGCAAAGGUGGCCCAGGAGGGCCCAGCACGGCCCGGGCCCCGGGACUCUUUCCAGCCAGGAGCGCUGGUUAACGAGGCCUGGCCGCCCCCUCCUCCGGCCUCCGCAGGCCCCAGCGCCAGGCCGGGAAGACGGGCUUGAACUUCCUUUAAUUA